rnacentral:rRNA from 1 species
GAUGAACGCUGACAGAAUGCUUAACACAUGCAAGUCAACUGUGGCGGACGGGUGAGUAACGCGUAAAGAACUUGCCUCACAGAUAGGGACAACAUUUGGAAACGAUUGCUAAUACCUGAUACUGUGAGAGAGCUUUGCGUCCCAUUAGCUAGUUGGAGAGGUAACGGCGCACCAAGGCGAGGAUGGGUAGCCGGCCUGGGAGGGUGAUCGGCCACAAGGGGACUGGGACACGGCCCGUAGGCCAACGGGGGGCAGGAGUGGGGAUGAUAGGACAAAGGACCAAAGUCUGAUCAAGCAAUUCGGUGUGCAAGAUGAAGUUUUCGGAAUGUAAAGUGCUGUCAGUUGGGAAGCGGUACCAACAGAGGAAGUGACGGCUAAAUACGUGCCAGCAGCCGCGGUAAUAC